CCUCCUCUCAGCCUGGCUGCUGCAAUGGAGUCUCAGCCUUGCUGGGGUGACUGCUGUGCUUCCACAGCUCUUUGGUAAAGUCUCAGCAAACACAAUCAGGGCUGCUCUGUAAAGCUAUCUUACCAGGCUUACCUGAUUCACACAGCAGGUUACAAUGACAAGAACAAGAUAUCUGAUGUGAAUGCAGACUGAUCCAGAGGAAAGGAAUAGUAAUCAAAGAUAAAAUUGUUAAUGGAAAGGAGAAAAAGAAUUUAAAGAGCUAUGCAAGCAAAAAAUGUUGGGGAACAUCAUUUGUCUUUCUGUAAUCAGUAAAAGCUAUUCAUUACAUUUGUUGAACGUGUCCAGACUACAGAGAAAUCUGUGUUGCAGUCUACCAGUGUUUCACUGUCUGAGAGUGGGGGAUGUUUUGGGUGCUCUGGGUGUAGCCUGUGUGUGGGCACAUGGCAGUGCUUGAGGAUGCCAGUCUUGCUGGCUACUGUUGGAGGACUUUACAGGUCAGAAUUUCUACACUGCAUAUUGCUCACAGGGGGGACAUGAGAGCUCCCUGACACAUCCUAUGCCCCAAAUUUUACCCAGAUAUUGUUUCAGAAAAUUCUGGUGUCAAAACCAAGACUGGGAACGUGAUAACAUUUAAAUAACAGGCAUGAUGACAGAGGAGAUCCUCAAACCCAACCAUUCAACUGGAUUAUUUAGCAAUGUAGAUAAAGCUUAUGAUGUACACAUUCCUGACUAAUUUUUUCCACUUCUUUUGUAUUUUCUUUUUCAAUAAUACCCCUGACAAAGGGGUUGUACAAUGCAAUUGAGUCAGUGAAAUCUUUUAGCAGGACCUAGCAGUCAGCAAAGAAAAGAAUAAACUCAGAAAGCAAGUAUAAAGGAACAAAACCCUGGUUACAGCAGGACAUUACAUGUAAUUAAUAAUAAUCUGAAGGAAAAAGAGGCUUGGAUAGCCAUGUCAGCAGUAUUUCCGUUGAUGUGGGGACCUACUCAAACAUACAAAAUAUUUUCUUCCCUGUGUCACAGAUCCCUUACAGAAAAGCUAUAAUAGAUGUCUCAGGGUCUGGGGGCUUGGAUUUUCUUAUUCCCCUAAAAAGAACAAAUGAAAAGCACCGAUCCAAGCUAAAAAAUUCAACUGCAAAAAGAAACAAUACCAACUGCCUUAUACUGACAAGAUGCUCUAGCAGCUUAGUUGGUUUUCUUGCUACUUUACAAUUAGUUAUGAAUUUUUGAAGCCCUUUUCUCCUUGCAGAGAAGACACAGUGGGGAUGAUGAGGGCUAAUCAUGGCAUGUGAGCCAACACUCCCAUUAGCAGGAGCUCUGAUGCACUCACAACUGUGCUAACUGCAUCUGAGCACUGACCAAUUCUCUGCCACAGGAAACCUAAAGUAAGAAUAAAUGUAGACUGCAAUCACAUUUAUAAAAACACCUACAUAAAAAAAAAGAGUGAAUAUGUGCAAAAAAGAUGU